CACUGCAGUGCUGUACCCUUUUUGUUGUCGUCUGUCUUCCUCUGACCUGGAGUGUGUUGGGUGUUGUUCCUUUGGGAUUCUCUUUGGGUUGCUUGCACUAAUGCCUCUGCUUUGAAAAAAUGAUCAGGCUUAAUAUGUGAACCUACAUCAGGGUGAAAUUAAAAAAGAAUCAUGCAGGUUCUAUAAGUCUUUUUUUCCAUUAUUAGCUUGAUAUAAAUGUCUAAAGGGUCAGUUUACCCAAAUUGUAUUUCUUUAAAUGAGAGAAUCAACCACAGGAUGUGAUGAUGCAACACGUGAUCAUUGACUUUAAGUACAACCUAUAAGAUCUUUUUUAAACAUCAAUCAGGCUCUCAUAAAAACUCUUUCUCACUGGCUUCUGCUUUCAGUUGUCAUCCACCUGCGUAUUAGGCAUUAUCAGACCCAUAAUGGUUUUAAGUGUUACUGACAAAUCUUCUCUCUGAGGAAAAACUGCUUGGAGAAGCUGUUUGAAAGCUUUGUUGGGCUUCACCCAUCAAAAUAUUACAUUGUGCAGGAAAUAACAUGUAUGUCCAGAUCAGUAUUCAUUGCGCCUGGAACCGAUUAGUCAAUUAAGAUGAAUUGUUUACCAAUGCUAAGUGCCAGGCCGAUGUGACCACAAUGCCACAUUACAUUUCAUCCAUAUUACCCCUAUGUUAGCUUAGAUGCCUAAAAUGUAGAGUAGUGCAGCAACUGCGUCCCUAUUUUUAAAAUUGAGAGAGUAAUAAAUUCGUUUUUGCUAAAAUAAAAAUCAUAAAACAGGGAAGCAAGGUUAAAGCACCUUGUAACAUAAUUUGGUGUCCAUGUUAAUUACUAUCAUGUCCGUCUUCCACUUAUUAACUCGCUCACCAAUGAUGUUCAGGAUGUUUCAGAAUCUAUUUUUCUCGAUAAUAACGUAUAUUUAUUCUCAGAUUGAGUUUCAGCUGAACAUCCUUUAUAUUUCAUGUUUCUCUAAGACCGACUUUACUCCGUUAAAGUAAAGACUCAACACUUUCCACUACUUUCAUCAAUAAAUCAAUGAAUUUAAGUUUUAGGCUAAAUCUAGCAUGUUUACUGCAUGCUUUGAUAGGACUUGUUGAUAAAUCCACUUGAAAUCUAUGCAAAACUUUAAUCUACUGCCUUUUUAACUAUUGUUUUUGCACCUCAUAUUUUGCCGUUUGCACGGUACUGGCAGACAGCUAGUAUUGUCUCUCCUUUACAGUCAGUGUAGUUUUAAGUGGUGAAAAAGGCUUAAAAAGUUGCGUUAUGCAUGUAUAAAGUCUUAAUUCAGAUCCUUGGCAGACACCAAUCUUAGUUUGUUUUUUUUAAUUAUUUUCAUUCAUUCUGAGUUUUUUUUAUUUAUUUAUUUUUUGCAGUUAUGAUUAGUUCCAUCAACAUUUUCCACCAUACUUGUUUAGUCCAUUGUUUACAUCUGACCUUGGUACUUGCCGACUCCUCCCAAUAAAAUUGCGAUGUUUGUCACACCUCAGUGACUUAAAAGUUGGAUGAAAUGUGACAUGACCGUUCCAGCUGGUUGCACCAACAUCAGAUAAGGAUCCAGUUUGGGAGCGUGUAUUUAAGCGACCUGGGUGUGAUAUCGAGAAGAAAAUUGAUUUGUGCUAAAAAAUAAAAAAAUCAGAUACCAGUAACACAUUGGUAGAGAAGUUGGCUUUGCGCCACUUUUGUCUGCUGUGUGAACAUUUGGUCAUUCACACCCAGAUUUGUUUGAUCAACAGCGAAAUGUGCAAAGCCUGUGAAACAGCUUUACAAAACAUGCACAUGAUAAAAAGCAGUGAUUUUAAAACAUCAACAUAAAUUUAAAAAGUUUCAAUCACAUACGUACAUUUUUGCAAUGUUAAUUACUUGCUUAGAUACUAUUUGAUUGGGUGUUGGAAAAACGUCGAGGCAAUGUUGG